UUGUACGUCUGACUUGUGGUAGGUGAGUGUGUCAAGAAGAGUUUCUGUACACAGUGAGGUUCGAACCCGAAAUCUCCUUCAAGGAACAUCAAGUUGCUUACUAAUUGAGCCAACUCUUAUUUAUUAUCUCGUUGAAAUUAUAAACGUUGAAAAAAAAAAUUCCUAAAUUUCUCCCAAAUUAUAAACCCUAAAAAAUUAUUCUCGACAACUUCAACCUUAACCGCCAUUGUUACUCAAGCUUUUGCGCUAUUCUUCGUCAUUCACUUCACUGCUUUCUUGCAACUCCAUAUCUACUACUACUUCAAUUUCAUAAUACUUCGCUUGAUUCAACCAUUCUUUGGUAGAAUUUCAGUUGUUCGUUCUUAAUUGAAUUUACGGCUUUCUUCUUCUUCCGGCAUAAUGGAGGUAGAUGAAGAGAAUCCUUCUUCUGCUUCAGUUGCUGAACCAACUCCUCCAGGAACUGAUGCUGAGAUGCUGGCUACUUCUGAACCAGCUACUGAUAUCAUGGGUCCUGCUACUCUUACAUCCCCUAUGAUUACACCGGCUGCUGUCCCUCCAUCAGCUCCUCCCGCAGUUGCCCCUUUGUCAGCUCCACCUCCGGUGCUGGUCCCAUCAAUCGCUCCUCUUCCUAUUGUUCCUCCUGCGACAUCUAGACCAUUAGCUCCUCUCCCUGUCCGCCCUUUCCUUACUCAAAAUGGUGAGGCAAUGGCAAGUGAAUCGGAAUCUGAGGAUGAUGACCAGGGUUCGGAAAUGGAUGCGCAAGGUUCCUCAGUUGGGUAUGAAAUUACAGAGGAGAGUCGGGUUGUUAGGGAACGUCAAGAGAAAGCGAUGAAGGAAUUCAUGAUGAAAAGACGCGCUGCUGCUUUAGCUGUCCCCACAAAUGACGUGGCUGUGCGGACUAGGCUUCGGCGACUUGGUGAACCCAUUACUCUCUUUGGGGAGAGAGAGAUGGAAAGAAGGGACCGGCUCCGGAUGCUUAUGGCUAAGCUUGAUGCUGAGGGGCAAUUGGAAAAGCUUAUGAAAGCCCAUGAAGAAGAGGAAGAAGCAGCUUCAGCUAAGGAUGAGGUCGAUGAAGAAAUGUUUCAGUAUCCAUUUUAUACAGAAGGGACCCAAGAAUUGUUGGAGGCUCGGAAGUUUAUAGCUAAGUUCUCUAUUGUCCGAGCAUCUCAGCGUCUGCAGCGUGCAAGAAGGAAAAGAAAUGAUCCAGAUGAAGAUGAAGAUGCUGAAGUUGAUUGGGCUCUUAGACAGGCAGAGACUUUUGUUCUUGAUUCUAGUGAGAUUGGUGAUGACCGCCCACUUGGUGGUUGUUCGUUUUCAAAAGAUGGGAAUUUGCUUGCUACCUGUUCUUCUAGUGGAGUUGCUAAGAUAUGGAGUAUGCCUGAAGUGAAGAGGGUCUCUGCCUUGAAGGGACACACUGUGCAUGCUACUGAUGUCGCAUUUUCUCCUGUAAGUGACAUUGUAGCAACUGCCUCUGCUGAUCGUACUGCAAAGUUGUGGAAUACAGAUGGUACGUUAGUGAGAACAUUUGAAGGUCAUUUAGAUCGCUUAGCUCGUAUUGCCUUCCAUCCAUCUGGGAAGUACUUGGGCACCUCAAGUUUUGACAAAACUUGGCGUCUAUGGGAUAUUGAAAGUGGUGCAGAGUUGCUUCUUCAAGAAGGCCAUAGCAGGAGUGUUUAUGGCAUAGCUUUUCAUCUAGAUGGAUCCUUGGUAGCAUCAUGUGGACUGGAUUCUCUCACACGUGUCUGGGAUCUUCGAACAGGAAGAAGUGUUCUUGCUUUGGAAGGGCACAUCAAACCUGUCUAUGGGGCUGAUUUUUCUCCUAAUGGCUAUCAUUUGGCCACCGGUUCCGAGGAUAAUACAUGCCGGAUUUGGGAUUUGAGAAAGAAAAAGUCCUUGUACAUAAUUCCCGCCCAUUCUAAGCUUAUUUCAGAGGUCAAAUUUGAGCCCCAAGAGGGAUAUUAUUUGGUCACUGCUUCAUACGAUACAACUGUCAAGGUAUGGUCAUCUCGAGACUUCAAGCUUAUCAAGACAUUGGCAGGACAUGAAUCAAGAGUCACAUCCUUAGAUAUUACAGGAGAUGGACAGUGCAUUGCUACGGUUGGACAUGAUCGAACAAUCAAGCUCUGGUCAAGCAGUGUCCCCUCUGAAGAAAAGUCGAUGGACCUAGGCUAAGGGUCAGUUUUAGGGGUGCUUUUGAUGCGAGUCGAGUUCGAGUAUGACCGAGUCGAUCUCGAGUAGCUUGCAGCUUGAUUCGUGGUGAAGGAACUUUUGAAGGAUCGUUUAAAUGGAAAAGCAGGAGGUUCUAUUGAGUGCAUUAGUUGAACUAAACUCGCGUAACUUUGAGGAGUUAGUGCUGAAAAGUAAAGAUCUUUGGGUUAUAGAGUUCUUUGCACCUUGAUUGGUUGUUAUAGGAUCCACGAGGAGCAGAUUGAGAAAUGGCAGGAGGAAAUGAAGGAGGAGGAGCUGAGGGUGGUCGAUGCAACGAACGACGAAAUGAUGAUCGCUUGAAUAAUGUCAAAUGCCUGCUUCAUACUGUUCAUAUCACCGGUCAACUGCCUCCUGCAAAAAUAUUGAAUUGAUUUAGAGGGAAUUGUUGAAAUUUCAUAUGUUUCAUCUUACUGUUUUUGGUAUUCAUUUUUUGCUUUUUUAUUCAUAAAAUUAUCUGUUGUUUUACAAUUUAUUUAUUUAUUUAUUUUUGUUGUCAAAAACAGUUUGUUGAAAUGUUAAUAGAUAUUAAUGAAAGAUAUACUCUUACUUUUUGGUGAAAUUAGCUUA